UACGAAGGGGGCUAGCGUUGUUCGGAAUUACUGGGCGUAAAGCGCACGUAGGCGGACAUUUAAGUCAGGGGUGAAAUCCCAGAGUUCAACUCUGGAACUGCCUUUGAUACUGGGUGUCUUGAGUAUGGAAGAGGUGAGUGGAAUUCCGAGUGUAGAGGUGAAAUUCGUAGAUAUUCGGAGGAACACCAGUGGCGAAGGCGGCUCACUGGUCCAUUACUGACGCUGAGGUGCGAAAGCGUGGGGAGCAAACAGG
rnacentral:rRNA from 1 species